rnacentral:rRNA from 1 species
UACGGAGGGUGCAAGCGUUGUCCGGAUUUAUUGGGUUUAAAGGGUGGCGUAGGCGGCUGAAUAAGUCAGCGGUGAAAGACUUCGGCUUAACCGGAGCAGCUGCCGUUGAAUACUGUUUGGCUUGAGUGUUGGAGGGGUACAUGGGAAUUGAUGGUGUAGCGGUGAAAUGCAUAGAUACCAUCAGGAACACCGAUAGCGAAGGCAUUGUACUGGCCAACAACUGACGUGAGGCACGAAAAGUGUGGGGAGUCGAAACAGG